GUGCAGAGAAAAGGUAGUAUAAUGUUCUGGAAAGUAAAGGGAUGACUAUUUUAGUUUAGGUUGUUAAGGAGGGCUUUUCAGAGGAAAGUAGUUGGGGCUGAGAUUUGAAUAGCAAAAAAAGCAACCAGGCAUAAAAAGAUUGGAGGGGCAGUAUGAACUAAGUUUGAAGCAGGUGUUGCAAUGACUAUAAUGCAAGAAGGAGCUUGAUGUGUCCUAAGAACAAAGAGAAGGCCAGCAUUGGGCCUGGAGCACACUGGACAAGGAGAGAUGUUGUCCGAGGUACACCUAGUGAGACCAGGCCACAUAGUGAAGGGCUUUGUUGGCCAGUGUAGGAAGCUUGGAUUCAAGUCAAGUGUGGUGAGUUUGGGGCACUUUCAGUACCAAGCUGUUGGAGUCUUUAAGAAAAGAAGUGACGGGGCCUACUUUAUGUAUUUUUAAAGUUGCUCUGGUAGUUGGAGAAUAACUCUGGAGAGGAACUGGGAAUGGGGCAGGAAUAGGGAAGCGAGGAUAUCAUUAGGAAGCUGUUGCAUUAUUCCUGGCAAGAAACGAUUGUUGCAUCAACAAGAGUGGUAGUGAAGUUGGGAGGCAGGGAUAGCUUUGCAACUUUCGUCAGAAUUCAGCAGACUAAGUAUAUAGAUCUGAUUGUGCAGAGUAGUGAGGGCUGACUGAGAGAAAUUGUGAUCAAGGGUCAUUCCUAGGUGUUUGUGGAUUAAAGAACUGGGUAGAUGGUAUGCAUUUUACUGAAUUGUCAAUAUUUG
rnacentral:lncRNA from 1 species